rnacentral:rRNA from 1 species
GGAUUCCCCUAGUAGCGGCGAGCGAAGCGGGAUGAGCCCAGAUUUGAAAGCUCCCGGUGUUGGGCCGGGCGCAUUGUAAGCUGGAGACGUGCCUCGAGCGGCGCGGCUGGACCCAAGUCUGCUGGAAAGCAGCAUCAGAGAGGGUGAGAAUCCCGUGCUUGGUCUGGCUGGCUGGCGCCGUGCUGUGGGGUGCGCUCGACGAGUCGCGUUGUUUGGGAAUGCAGCGCAAAAUGGGUGGUAAACGCCAUCGAAGGCUAAAUAUGGGGGAGAGACCGAUAGCGAACAAGUACCGUGAGGGAAAGAUGAAAAGCACUUUGGAAAGAGAGUUAAACAGUACGUGAAAUUGCCAAGAGGGAAGCGCUGGCAGUCAGUGCCGCAGCUGGUCCCGUUUCGAUGGGGCCAGUGGGGGCCCGCGUCGGUUGUCGUCGUACGACGAUGGCGGCAGAGAAGGCAGUGUGGGAAGGUGGCUUGGGCGCGCAUGCGGCCAGGUGGUUAUAGCCCCGCUGUGGAUCUGCCGCUGGCGACC